rnacentral:lncRNA from 1 species
CAGAUAGUCUGUCUUUAUUUACAAAUAAUGUAAGCCUCAGACAGACAUUCCUCAGAGUGGGCCUCCUGCCUGGUGCUCAGUCACUGCAGCUGGAGCAGAGGAUGACAAGCACAGCAGCAGCAGCAGCAGCAGCAGCACUGAUGGUGAACAGCCUCUGCUGAGCUCUGGAGACAAAGCUGCACCUUCCUGCUCUUACAACAGAAGAAGACAAGGCUGAACUUUCUGAAAUUAUUUUUUCCUCCUGCUGAUGGCUUCCUGAAGAACUUUUCACCUCUGCCGAGAGCCAGAAC